AUUUCUGCAAUUAUUAGAACUUAACUGCUCCUCUGAGAUAACUUGCAUACACACAUACAUGCAUAUGCAUAUAAAUAUGUUCAUAGUGAUAGACUAACUCUAUUGAUUGGCCAUCCAGCUAUAUAGCAUAGUCUUGAUAACGUUCUUCAUCCACUUGAGUUUUUCUUCAUGAAUGGUUAGUUCAAACAUUUUUUUAACUAAAUGAUCUCUUCUAGGAGUUUCAGAAGUAUUCUGAUGCAAUCUGUAAAAUCUCAGAUUCCAAGAGGAGCAGGAAACCUCAUCAUUUCUAGAGAAUUCCUCUUCAUUUUAGAGCCUGUUGGAGUGUGGUGGUAACAAUGUAAUCACUAUGGAAACUUUGUUGAAGAAGACUCGGCUGUUCCUUACAAAUAUCUUCAUUAAAGCCACCUCCAAUGCAUCUGUAGAUGAUUG
rnacentral:lncRNA from 1 species